rnacentral:rRNA from 1 species
AUUGAACGCUGGCGGCAGGCCUAACACAUGCAAGUCGAACGGUAACAGGAAGAAGCUUGCUUCUUUGCUGACGAGUGGCGGACGGGUGAGUAAUGUCUGGGAAACUGCCUGAUGGAGGGGGAUAACUACUGGAAACGGUAGCUAAUACCGCAUAACGUCGCAAGACCAAAGAGGGGGACCUUCGGGCCUCUUGCCAUCGGAUGUGCCCAGAUGGGAUUAGCUAGUAGGUGGGGUAACGGCUCACCUAGUCGACGAUCCCUAGCUGGUCUGAGAGGAUGACCAGCCACACUGGAACUGAGACACGGUCCAGACUCCUACGGGAGGCAGCAGUGGGGAAUAUUGCACAAUGGGCGCAAGCCUGAUGCAGCCAUGCCGCGUGUAUGAAGAAGGCCUUCGGGUUGUAAAGUACUUUCAGCGGGGAGGAAGGGAAUAAAGUUAAUACCUUUGCUCAUUGACGUUACCCGCAGAAGAAGCACCGGCUAACUCCGUG